rnacentral:rRNA from 1 species
GACGAACGCUGGCGGCGUGCCUAAUACAUGCAAGUAGAACGCUGAAGGAGGAGCUUGCUUCUCUGGAUGAGUUGCGAACGGGUGAGUAACGCGUAGGUAACCUGCCUGGUAGCGGGGGGUAACUAUUGGAAACGAUAGCUAAUACCGCAUAAUAGUAGAUGUUGCAUGACAUUUACUUAAAAGGUGCAAUUGCCUCACUACCAGAUGGACCUGCGUUGUAUUAGCUAGUUGGGGGGGUAACGGCUCACCAAGGCGACGAUACAUAGCCGACCUGAGAGGGUGGUCGGCCACACUGGGACUGAGACACGGCCCAGACUCCUACGGGAGGCAGCAGGAGGGAAUCUUCGGCAAUGGACGAAAGUCUGAACGAGCAACGCCGCGUGAGUGAAGAAGGUUUUCGGAUCGUAAAGCUCUGUUGUAAGAGAAGAACGAGUGUGAGAGUGGAAAGUUCACACUGUGACGGUAUCUUAACAGAAAGGGACGGCUAACUACGUG